GAUGAACGCUGGCGGCGUGCCUAAUACAUGCAAGUCGAGCGAACAGACGAGGAACUUGCUCCUCUUACGUUAGCGGCGGAAGGGUGAGUAACACGUGGAUAACCUACCUAUAAGACUGGGAUAACUUCGGGAAACCGGAGCUAAUACCGGAUAAUAUAUUGAACCGCAUGGUUCAAUAGUGAAAGACGGUUUUGCUGUCACUUAUAGAUGGAUCCGCGCCGCAUUAGCUAGUUGGUAAGGUAACGGCUUACCAAGGCAACGAUGCGUAGCCGACCUGAGAGGGUGAUCGGCCACACUGGAACUGAGACACGGUCCAGACUCCUACGGGAGGCAGCAGUAGGGAAUCUUGCGCAAUGGGCGAAAGCCUGACGGAGCAACGCCGCGUGAGUGAUGAAGGUCUUCGGAUCGUAAAACUCUGUUAUUAGGGAAGAACAAUUGUGUAAGUAACUAUGCACGUCUUGACGGUACCUAAUGAGAAAGCCACGGCUAACUACGUG
rnacentral:rRNA from 1 species